UACGUAGGGUGCGAGCGUUAAUCGGAAUUACUGGGCGUAAAGCGUGCGCAGGCGGUUUUGUAAGCCAGAUGUGAAAUCCCCGGGCUUAACCUGGGAAUGGCAUUUGGGACUGCAAGGCUCGAGUGCGGCAGAGGAGACUGGAAUUCCUGGUGUAGCAGGUGAAAUGCGUAGAUAUCAGGAGGAAUACCGAUGGCGAAGGCAGGUCUCUGGGCUGACACUGACGCUCAUGCACGAAAGCGUGGGGAGCAAACAGG
rnacentral:rRNA from 1 species